rnacentral:rRNA from 1 species
UCUCUUGAGAGCGGCGGACGGGUGAGUAAUACCUGGGAAUCUGCCUGAUAGUGGGGGAUAACGUUCGGAAACGGACGCUAAUACCGCAUACGUCCUACGGGAGAAAGCAGGGGAUCUUCGGACCUUGCGCUAUCAGAUGAGCCCAGGUCGGAUUAGCUUGUUGGUGAGGUAACGGCUCACCAAGGCGACGAUCCGUAACUGGUCUGAGAGGAUGAUCAGUCACACUGGAACUGAGACACGGUCCAGACUCC